rnacentral:SRP_RNA from 1 species
GCCGGACGCGGUGGCGCGCGCCUGUAGUCCCAGCUACUCGGGAGGCUGAGGUGGGAGGAUCGCUUGAGUCCAGGAGUUCUGGGCUGCAGUGCGCUAUGCCGAUCGGGUGUCCGCACUAAGUUCGGCAUCAAUAUGGUGACCUCCCGGGAGCGGGGGACCACCAGGUUGCCUAAGGAGGGGUGAACCGGCCCAGGUCGGAAACGGAGCAGGUCAAAACUCCCGUGCUGAUCAGUAGUGGGAUCGCGCCUGUGAAUAGCCACUGCACUCCAGCCUGGGCAAUAUAGUGAGACCCUGUA